rnacentral:rRNA from 1 species
GACGAACGCUGGCGGCGUGCUUAACACAUGCAAGUCGAACGGUAAGGCCCUUCGGGGUACACGAGUGGCGAACGGGUGAGUAACACGUGGGCGAUCUGCCCUGCACUUCGGGAUAAGCCUGGGAAACUGGGUCUAAUACCGGAUAGGACCACUGCCUGCAUGGGUGGUGGUGGAAAGCUUUUGCGGUGUGGGAUGGGCCCGCGGCCUAUCAGCUUGGUGGUGGGGUGAUGGCCUACCAAGGCGACGACGGGUAGCCGGCCUGGGAGGGUGACCGGCCACACUGGGACUGAGAUACGGCCCAGACUCCUACGGGAGGCAGCAGUGGGGAAUAUUGCACAAUGGGCGCAAGCCUGAUGCAGCGACGCCGCGUGAGGGAUGACGGCCUUCGGGUUGUAAACCUCUUUCAGCACCGACGAAGCGCAAGUGACGGUAGGUGCAGAAGAAGGACCGGCCAACUACGUGCCAGCAGCCGCCGUAA